UACGUAGGGUGCGAGCGUUAAUCGGAAUUACUGGGCGUAAAGGGUGCGCAGGCGGUUAUAUAAGACAGAUGUGAAAUCCCCGGGCUCAACCUGGGAACUGCGUUUGUGACUGUAUGCUAGAGUACGGUAGAGAGGGGUGGAAUUCCUGGUGUAGCAGUGAAAUGCGUAGAUAUCAGGAGGAACAUCGAUGGCGAAGGCAGCCCCUUGGACCUGUACUGACGCUCAUGCACGAAAGCGUGGGGAGCAAACAGG
rnacentral:rRNA from 1 species